rnacentral:lncRNA from 1 species
CUAAAAUAGAAAUUUUAAUAAAAUAUUAAAAUAUAAAUCUUAAUUAAAUCCUAAUCAAAUCCUAAUCAAAUCUUAAAUAAAUGUGAAUCAAAUUCUAAUCACACCCUAACCAAAUCCUAGUCAAAUCUUAACCAAAUCCUAACCAAACUCUAGUCAAAUCCUAACCAAACCCUAAUAAAUCCUAAAUAAAUCCUAGUCAAAUCCUAAUAAAUCCUAACCAAACCUUAAUCAAAUCUCAAAUAAAUCUUGAUCAAAUCCUAGUCAAAUAUUAAUCAAAUCCUAAUCAAAUCCUAAUCAAACUUAAGUCAAAUUCCAACCAAAUUUUAAUCAAUCCUAAAUAAAUCCUAGUCAAAUCCUAACAAAUCCUAACCAAAUCCUAAUCAAACCUUAAACAUACUCUAACCAAAACGUAAAUAAUCCAAGUAAUUCUUAUAGCAGAUUUAAACCUCAAUAUUUUAUAAAUGAACCAUUGAUUUUAAUUCAAAUUUUUCAUACCUCUUCACAAUUAAAUUGACUACAAGCACAAAAGUUUUGAAGAAGAUCAAACUCACCAAAAAGAUGAUCAAUCCUAAUAUUUGCUUGGAUGUUGGUUGGCCUCCUUCUUCAAUCUCAAUGUUGAAUUUUCAGCAUUAAUAUCUCCU